UCUCAUGGCUGAGCAAAAGUAAGUGGUUUCCUGAGAUGGAAUCUACUCCUAGUGAAGACACUGUGAA
rnacentral:pre_miRNA from 1 species